AGGGCACCACCAGGAGUGGAGCCUGCGGCUUAAUUUGACUCAACACGGGAAAUCUCACCAGGCCCGGACACCGGAGGGAUUGACAGAUUGAGAGCUCUUUCUUGAUUCGGUGGGUGGUGGUGCAUGGCCGUUCUUAGUUGGUGGAGCGAUUUGUCUGGUUAAUUCCGAUAACGAACGAGACUCUGGCCUACUAAAUAGACGUUAGAUCCCUUUGUGGGUCUAUCGCAGCUUCUUAGAGGGACGGGCGGCGUUCAGCCGCACGAGAUUGAGCAAUAACAGGUCUGUGAUGCCCUUAGAUGUUCUGGGCUGCACGCGCGCUACACUGAAGGAAUCAGCGUGUGUUCCCUGCCCGAAAGGACUGGGAAACCCGUUGAACCUCCUUCGUGAUGGGGAUUGGGGAUUGCAAUUAUUCCCCAUGAACGAGGAAUUCCCAGUAGGCGCGAGUCAUAAGCUUGCGUCGAUUACGUCCCUGCCCUUUGUACACACCGCCCGUCGCUACUACCGAUCGAGUGAUUUAGU
rnacentral:rRNA from 1 species